GACGAACGCUGGCGGCGUGCCUAACACAUGCAAGUCGAGUGAGUUGAUUCUCUUCGGAGAUGAAGCUAGCGGCGGACGGGUGAGUAACACGUGGGCAACCUGCCUCAUAGAGGGGAAUAGCCUUCCGAAAGGGAGAUUAAUACCGCAUAAGAUUGUAGCUUCGCAUGAAGUAGCAAUUAAAGGAGCAAUCCGCUAUGAGAUGGGCCCGCGGCGCAUUAGCUAGUUGGUGAGGUAACGGCUCACCAAGGCGACGAUGCGUAGCCGACCUGAGAGGGUGAUCGGCCACAUUGGGACUGAGACACGGCCCAGACUCCUACGGGAGGCAGCAGUGGGGAAUAUUGCACAAUGGGGGAAACCCUGAUGCAGCAACGCCGCGUGAGUGAUGACGGCCUUCGGGUUGUAAAGCUCUGUCUUCAGGGACGAUAAUGACGGUACCUGAGGAGGAAGCCACGGCUAACUACGUGCCAGCCGCCGCAGUAA
rnacentral:rRNA from 1 species